AUCUCUUGGUUCCCGCAUCGAUGAAGAACGCAGCGAAAUGCGAAAAUUAAUGUGAAUUGCAGAAUUCCGUGAAUCAUCGAGUCUUUGAACGCACAUUGCGCCCUUUGGUAUUCCGAAGGGCAUGCCUGUUCGAGCGUCAUU
rnacentral:rRNA from 1 species